rnacentral:rRNA from 1 species
AUUGAACGCUAGCGGGAGGCUUUACACAUGCAAGUCGAACGGAGUGGCGGACGGGUGAGUAAUAUAUCGGAACGUGCCCAGUAGCGGGGGAUAACUACUCGAAAGCGUGGCUAAUACCGCAUCCCAUUGGAUCGGCCUAUAUCGGAUUAGCUUGUUGGGGGGGUAAAGGCUCACAAAGGCAACGAUCCCUAGCUGGUUUGAGAGGAUGACCAGCCACACUGGGACUGGGACACGGCCCAGAAUCCUACGUGAGGCAGCAGUGGGGAAUAUUGGACAAUGGGGGAAAACCUGAUCCAGCCAUCCCGGGUGUAUGAUGAAGGCCUUCGGGUUGUAAAGUACUUUUGGCAGAGAAGCGGUACCUGCAGAAGAAGCACCGGCUAACUACGUGCCAGCAGCCGCGGUAAUAC